AACCAUUUUCUUCUAUUCUCUUUCUUUUCUUCUCUGUCGCUUUUCUCAUUCGCAACUGUAACAUUGAGAAAGAGAACAAUUUUCUGGUCUUCAUCUUCUUCUUUCGCCACGCUCUCUAUCAUCCGAAAGGAAGAAGAGUCUUUCCUUUUUUUCUCUCUCUCUCUCAAAGUUACAUCAUCUUCUCUUGAAGGAUAAUCUUUGUCUCUCCCGCUUUUGUCUCCUCAAAGAAAUGGAUUAAAAUGGCGAACGGAUUAACACAUUGGAACAAAAGAAUCUUGGUCACUUUUUCUUUUAUUUUCUUUUCUCUUAUGUAAUAGAUUUAGAGAAAUAUGGUUCGGAUUAGAGGCGAAUUGGAUUAACUGAAUUGUUCUUCUUUUCUUUAGCCAUUGGAUUUCCUGUUAUUCUUUGCGGAAAUAGUGUUAAGAUUAAUUAGUCCAUGUUUUCUAUUGGAUUAACAUUGUCAUCAUCUUAAGAGCGUUGGUCAACUUGUUAAUUUGUGAUUCUUUUCUAAAAGUGUAACAUUUUUCUCUCUUCUCUAUGUUUUCCUUUUAGGUCUCAUAUUGGUGAUUCUUUCAUCCCAAUUAUUUUAUCAUCUUCUUUUUGGCUCUUACUUUCUCUUUUUCUCUAUUUCUUUCUCUCUCUUUGUCAUCUCCGUUUCCUCUUGUCAUCUCACUCUCUCUCUCUCUUCUCUGAUUUUCUAACUGGAAUCAUCAUCCGUUUUAAUCUCACAACCAUAAUAUCCCAGCUUAACAUUUUCUCUUCUUCCCUUGGACUUCACUUGGCUUGUUUUUUUCUUUUCUUUUAUUUUCUCUUCUAAUUUGAAGAGAAAAAAAAGUGUUUCCUUUUUUUCUUGCAGAAUUUGCUUUGGGUAUUGGUCGUUACUGUUCAAUGAAAAUGAAGGGAAAAUGGUUAAAUUCAAUGGUGACACAUUCUUAUUGAAUGAAGAUGAUGAUGAACCUCCACUGAUGAUGAUCAAGCUUAAGGAGUAACAACAACAACAACAACAAGAUAACAAAGUAAACAAUAAAGGUAAAAGUUUCUUCGGAUUGAGAAUUUUACAAAAGAAAAAAAGAAAUAGACGAACCAAAUAGUACUGAAGAUGGAAAACGAUAGAAAAUGAAAAGGAACAGAAAAGAUUAAAAUGAAAGAGACAAAACAAGGAGCAAGUUAGAAACUGAAAGAGAAAAAAAAGAAAAGGUUGAGUCCAACGGGAACAGCGACAACGAUACACACACAAACAGCUAUGAUGAUGACGAUGACAACAACAACGGAGACAAAAAAACGUCAAACAAAGGACAAAGGAUAAGGAAUAUAUGGAAGAGAAAAGAAGAGGAAAAAAAGUAAUCAUUUAUGCUGAUUUAAUGUACCAUGUACUGAUAGAGAAGGAGCGAAAGAUAAUACAACAAAAAAGAGCCUCCAAUGUAUUAGAUACUAUGGAUACACACGGAUUACCUGAAUCAUAACCAACAACAACAACAACAACUUGACUACCUUUAGAAUAGUAAAAACUACAACAAGUUUUGUAUCUUUGUGAUACAACCCAGAGUAAGAAAACUAAUCUCAUGCACAUACAUGUAUAUCCAUGUGUGUGUGUAUCUUAUGCUUUAUCAUUUUAUUAUUUUUUCCAUAGAUAUUCAAGGUAAACCAGGUCAAAGAAGCAAACAUAAGGUAUUAGAAUAAUACAAUCGAGAGAGAGAGAGAGAGAGGAGAGAGAUAAAGAGAGAGAAAUGGAUACACACUCACACAUUAGCGUGAAAAAUGGUUACUCAAAAAAAGAAAAUGUUUCAUCUUCUCUCCUUUUAUAUCUUCCUUUUUCUCUCCAUCACCAUCAUCAUCCUCAUCAAUAUCUUUCUCUUCUUAUUCUAUUCUCUGUUCCCUUUUUAUUAUAUUCUUUUUUAUAUUUUUCUUUUCUUUUCCAGUGUGAAUAAGUUAUUCAAAAUUUCCUGAGUGUCUAUGAUAGUUUUUCCAAACCAAUUUGAUUACAUAUUCAUUCAAUAUCAAUUGCAUGGUCUGAUCGUUUCCUCCCGUUCCCGUUGUUAACAUAUACAUAAUUUUUAUCUCCAUCAUAUAUCAUCAUCAUCAUUAUCAUUAUCAUCUGGUGAAGAAAAAACAAAAUUUAAGGUAAUUGAUUUUCAAUAGGAAUAUGAUUAUUACCGUUUCAUAACAAAUUUGAUUGUCCCGAUGUUGUUUUGUUUCAUUUGCGAUCCCUUGAUUAUGAUGAUGAUAACAAAUAACAACAAUUGGUAAUGGUAACAACAACUGAUGAUGUUAAUGAUGAUGAUGAUGCUUGAUUGAGUCUAUUUUAAGGUCAUAGACACUUGAUUGUUAGAUUAGAUUUAGUUAUGUAUAUAUACGUAAGUCAGGCCAAUUUAGCGUCAAUUUUUUAAGGCCUGGUAAAGUAAACCAUUUAUCCGUGAAAAUUUUUUUUCCUUUUCAGGUACACACACAUAUACAUCGGAACAAUUUUGUUAUUAGCUUAUUGUGUGUUCUCUUGCUGCUUUAAUUUCCAUUAUUAACUAUAUUUCUACUGAUUAAUCUUGAUUCUUUCCUCCAUAUUGAUCACUAUUAACCAUUAAACACAUCAAUUGGAAACACGCUUCAUCAAACCUAAUUUACUGAUUAUUCUCAUCUUUUACCAUUGGAAUUUAGGUGAAACAAUCAACUGAUUUCAAUGAUAAUGAUCACCGGAAAGGAGAGAUUAUAUCAAUCAACUCGAUCGUUAUGAUUAUUUUUUGCUCUCAUUGAUCAACCUAACCAAUUAUCAAUCAAUUUACCUUAUCUACUAUAUCCAUACAAGCGUAUCCCGUUUUUUUAAUCAUUGGUUAAUCUUACAAUUGGAAAUUUAAUUGUUAUCUUUUUCUUCACUCACAUACCAUCAAAAUCAAUUGUUUAUUAAUCAUAUUUCCACUAUUAUUACAAUUGUUUUGGUUUAAAAGAUUGACCAACAUGACCUGACCCACUCUCUAUCCAUGUGGCACUAAAAGAUGAUGAUGAUGAAUAAUAUAAAACCAAGAUUAACCUUUAAUCCUCUCUUUCAUAUAUAUUAAUACAAGAGAUCAAAGUAAAACCAGAUCGAUGGUCAUUUGGUUGACAUUCUUGAGGAAAAAAAAAUGUUACAGGUGAGAUGAGGAUGCUCAUGAAAGUGAUGAGGAUAAAUGUUUCAUCAUCAAUAAACCAUAACGCACACAUAGACUCAUAAGCUAAUACAUCAUUUUUUUUGUGUUGUUACUGCUGAUGAGAUAACUAAUAUUGGUGAUAAAAUGUUUAACUAUACAUGUUUAUAUAUAUUUAAUCAUGAUACAAGUUAAUUCCAGAGGUUAAUCAAGGUUAUUAUUACCAGUUAAUCAUUAUGAUGACCAUGAUGAUGGUUAUUAUUAUUAUCAAAAUAAUAUAAUCAACUGAUUGUGUUUUUUUUUGUUUCCCUUGAUUUGUUAUGAAUCAAGUUAUUGGUUUACUAUUUACUUCUGGUUUUAAUUCAAGUUAAUUGUUUACUUUUGGUUAACAUUUGUUGAUCAUAAUCAAAAGUAAAUAUUGGACAAUUAAAUGAAAUGGACAUUGAGAAAAUAAAUCACCAUUGACUUAACAAUCAACAACAAUUAAAUUACACAGUGUAACUUGUUGUUGAUUUUAUUGUUAAUGUUUGUUGAUUUUUAUUAAUAGUUGAAACAAUUAACUCAAUUGAAAUUGUGAAAUUUUUUACAAUUAGUUGAUUAUUUUUUUCCCCACUAAUCAAUUUGCUUCUUUAAUGUAUAAUACUAAUCAUGAUUAACUGUUAAUUAAGAUUGACAGUUAGCUAAUUGUUACCAUUUCUUACUAGGUUAAUCUAAUUGAAACUAAUAAAUUGUAAUAAUGAUGAUGAUUGAUUUAAAUUGAUUAAUUGAUUGUUACAAUUUUUAAAGUUUGUUUUGUUUGUUUCCUUUUCACUCCUUGUUAAUUAUCAUUAAGUGAUAAUUUCUAACAAUUUAAAGCUAGUUAAUUACAUAAUAGAUUGUAAUGUAAUUAACUUUGCCGUAAGGUAAAUUGUUAAAUCCUAACGAUGAUUAAAUCAAUGAAUCAAAUUGUAAAAAAAAAGUUAUUGAGUUUUGAUUACAAAUUAAUUGGUUAAUCACGAUUGUGGUUAACACCUCUUCAUGUAUUAACAAUCAACUAAUCAAGUUACUUAAUUUUCAUUGUCUCAUUAUAAAGAUUCAAUCAAUUACAAUUAACUUUUAACACCAAUUAACUGAUUGUAACAAUUUGAAAAAAAAAACUUUACAUCCAGAGAGUUGAUAAUUUGGUUUGCCAUUUGAUUUGAUGGAAACAAUUUAAAUUGUCUUGUCAAUUAUCAACAAUUUAAAUACAAUAACGAUGAUGAUUUAACCAAGAACUGUUAACCUGCCAAUCAACUAAUUAUUAAUCACGACGAAAACGUUGAUGAUUCAAUUCGUGAUUAACAAUUUAAUUUAGUUUCUGGUUUUUAAAUCAUUAAUCAAUAUUAAGGUUAAAUGUCAUUGUAUUUGUUAAAAAUGAUUAACUAAUCUUAAUCAUAAUUAACUAACCUUGUAUUAGAUUAACUUUAAUAAAUUGAUUUUGAUUUUUUCAUCCACAACAAUUUACCAUCAACUUUGAUUGUGAUAUUUAAAUUGUUGUUGUUUUGUCACAAUUUAGUUUGUCCCUUUAUCUUUGCAUGUCUCUCUGUGUUGACAUUUACUCUGAUGAAAUAAUUAAUUGAUUGUAACAAUCAAGAUUAAAACAAUUGCCCUACAACAAUUUACUAAUCAUAUGAAACUUUUUCUUGUCAAUGAUUGAUAUUGAUGAGAUAACGACAAGAACCAUAAUAAUAAUAGGAAAUGAUGAUGAUAAUAUUCUGGAUUCAUCUUUAUCUUCAUCUUGAAGAUCAUUAUUUUUUCAUCAUCCUCUAAUUGCCUGAGGGGUUUUUUAAAAAUUCAUCAUCAUUCAAGACUUAAUCAUUAAAGUCAAUAUUAUCAAUGUUAACAGAUUGAAAAGUGAUAUUAAAUAUAAAUCAUUAUUCAUCAUGAUGAAACUUUAUCAACUCUUAUUAUCAGAUGAACUUUUAAUUUUGUAUAUUUCAUAUUUAAUCAAAUUGAUCUUGUUGAUUUAUUAACAAUCAACCAUUGGUUUAAUAGUAAUCGAAAGUUAUAAUCAACUGAUUGUGAUUCUGUAGACGGAUUCAACUGGAUUACCAACAAUUAAUUAUGACGAUUAACCUUAUAGAUUGACCUGAAAUCUUUUGAUCUCAUUGAAUCAAGUGCCAAUGUGAUUUAAAUUGUUGAGGUAAAUUAGAUUAACAUGAAAACCUGAUGAUGAUAAUAACGGUAAUCAUUGGGAUUAUUUCAAUUGAAAUUAACUAACAACAAACAACUUAAAUUACCACAAACAGUGAAUGUCAUUAAAUCAAAUUGAAACUUUCAUGUUAAUCUUUCACUAUCAUGAUCAUCUUGAUUAACCAGAACUAUUUUAAUUAAUUGCUUAUCCUCAAGAUGAUACUGAUUGUGGUUUAUUUUUGAUUCAACUUUUAAAUUGUCAUUAUUAAUAAUCAUCAUUUAUUUAUAUUGAGUUGAUAAUAAUAAUAAAUGGAGAAAAUUUUUC